GACGAACACUGGCGGCGUGCUCAACACAUGCAAGUCGAACGAAGAGCGAUGGAAGCUUGCUUCUAUCAAUCUUAGUGGCGAACGGGUGAGUAACGCGUAAUCAACCUGCCUUUCAGAGGGGGACAACAGUUGGAAACGACUGCUAAUACCGCAUACGAUCUAAUCUCGGCAUCGAGGAUAGAUGAAAGGUGGCCUCUACAUGUAAGCUAUCACUGAAGGAGGGGAUUGCGUCUGAUUAGCUAGUUGGAGGGGUAACGGCCCACCAAGGCGAUGAUCAGUAGCCGGUCUGAGAGGAUGAACGGCCACAUUGGGACUGAGACACGGCCCAGACUCCUACGGGAGGCAGCAGUGGGGAAUCUUCCGCAAUAGACGAAAGUCUGACGGAGCAACGCCGCGUGAGUGAUGACGGCCUUCGGGUUGUAAAGCUCUGUUAAUCGGGACGAAAGGCCUUCUUGCGAAUAGUGAGAAGGAUUGACGGUACCGGAAUAGAAAGCCACGGCUAACUACGUG
rnacentral:rRNA from 1 species